rnacentral:rRNA from 1 species
AUGGAUAGACUCGUUAAUGUUCAUCAUUUGAACAAGGCGGCAUUUAUGAAUGGAAUUGACGAAGGGGAAGAGCCCAUGAUUUUUGACACAAGGCCAAGCUAUGAGGAUGUUGUCCUGAAAGUGAGAAGCGUCUUAUAGUGGAUUGACCCAAGUGAAGAAGCUAACUUAUUGAGGUAUGAUGUCGGAGUGGGAGUAAAGUCCCGAUUAAAGAGUAUGCCCAUCACCUCUGAAUUGCGUUGGAAUGUGUACAAGGAUAAAAUUGAGGAAUCACAAGACAAGGUACUUGAAUUAUUUUCCUCAAAGGUUGAAGUUCCUCGGCUACAAAUCGACUUGAACCGCAAUGUAUCCUCCCCAAUACAUGAUGGCAGAGUCGAGGUGUAUGUCCCCAAUUCUUCUAGUCAACCACCAAGUAGCCAACAAGUAAACUCUCCAUCAAAUACUCCGACUUGGGCUAGCAUCGUUCUGUGCUGA